GACGAACGCUGGCGGCGUGCCUAACACAUGCAAGUCGAGCGAAGCUUUUAAAGUGGAUCCCUUCGGGGUGAAACCUUAACUGUCUUAGCGGCGGACGGGUGAGUAACGCGUGAGAAACCUGCCUUUCACAACGGGAUAGCCUCGGGAAACUGGGAUUAAUACCGUAUGAUACUUCUACUUAGCAUUAAGAAGAAGUUAAAGCGUAAAGCGGUGAAAGAUGGUCUCGCGUCCCAUUAGCUAGUUGGUGAGGGUAACGGCCCACCAAGGCGACGAUGGGUAACCGGCCUGAGAGGGUGAACGGUCACAUUGGAACUGAGACACGGUCCAA
rnacentral:rRNA from 1 species